AGCUCCCGCACCGAGCAGCUCGAGGCUCGCCUCCGCCAGACCGCCCGCCCUGACUCCCUCGUGCGUUCCUUCUCUCCCCCUUCCAUCGCGCUUCCGCCUCUUUUCUUUUGGGUUUCUUCCUUUAACAAAUGGAGUCUUGCCAUUGAUCCUAAGUGGAACUGCAAUUACUCGAAAGGCUUCAGUGCAGAGAAUUAUCCGGCAUACUGGAUAGGUGGACAGUCUUUAAAAAAUAAUAUUAAACUUGCUUACCAGUCUUAAAAAAAAAAAAAAUGCUUUUUGAAGAUAAAUCACUUGGACAGUCGGCGGCACAUUUACCAAAUCCGCGAUAGAAUGUCUGAGAUCAUUAAUAUCUGUUGUUCCUAUCCCUCGAGAAGGAGCCGUCAUGGAGCAUCCCUAAGAGUUUCGAUCCUCUCUAUGGUCUCUUUAACAAUGGCUUUCCAUAAUUGAUCCUACCUCUAAGUGCAUCCCUCGCUCGAUUAUUCAUAUAGAAACCGAAUAGAGUGACGAAUUCAUGAUCUCCUUUGCCGGCGGGUUUGUACGUUUCAUCUCAUUGUGCUCCUUCUCGUGUUACAGUUCAUAUUUGAUUCUCCGAGGCUUGUUGUGUUUUGGCAGUCGCAAUUCUCUUGACUUGAAAUUUUCUCUGGUAUCCAAUUGCGAGAUCAUGAAUAAAUUUGACAUUGCACUCCUUACUGGCCAUGUUAAGAUUAUUUUGAGUUGAACAGAAGAAAAAAAAAAAAAACCAAAAACCAAAAGCUACAAACCAAAAAUCGAAAAACCAAACUGAACCGAACCGAAAGUUUGGUUCGGUUCAGGUCUCAUUCGGUUUGGUUCAAAAAAAAUUUCUAACUAUUCGAUUCAAUUCGGUUUUUCUGAAAAACCGAACCAUUGACACCCUAGCAAUAGCAACGGCAACUAAUGCAACACCACCACCAACAACAACAGCAACAGUUACAUCAGCAGCAACAGCAGCAGCACAUCCUGCUCCUCUAGCAACUGCAAAAGCAGCAGCAGGCAGCUGCUAUGUCGUGGUUCCCGUCCAACAUCGACGUGCACCUCCAUCCUCCGGGGCUCUCCCAUCACCCGAUCUAGCAAAACCCUAGCGUCUCCGCCCCCAAUUUGCAACAGCAACAACAGCAGUAGCAACAACAGCAAUUGCAGCGGCAGCAACAAGUGAUUCGACCGGGGAAUCAAGUGGAAUUGCAUAUGGCAUAUCGGGAUGCCUAGCAUGUUUGUCACCCCGACUUCAAGCGCCCCUUCUUUUCUCUCGAGGACGCCUGCAAGAGGUUGCCUUCUCUCUCCCUCUCUCUCUCUCUCUCUCUCUCUCUAGCCUAGAUGUUAUGUUGUUCUUGUCUUUUGAAGUAGUUCUUGUGGUUGGGAAAGUUGAUGAGAAGAAAUGGUACUUUUUACUACAAUGUGGUAAAGAUAGCACUUGCACAAGAGAUCAGUUAGUUGAGAUAAUGACCUACACAUGAAUUUGUGUCGACUGUAAACUGCAUUUUUUUAUUGGAAAUUCAGUUGAUUCCGAUCCAAGUAGGUGCUUUUUUUUGCACAUUAGUAACAUUUGAUGUUGAAUUGUCAAUUUAUAGAUUAAAUAAUCUGGGCAAGAACUAUCUGUAGUGAAUUAUCAGGCGAAAAUUUUUUGUUUUGAGCUGUUCAUGUGGACACUAAAAGAGGUGGAUUUAGUAUUGGCUACUUAGCAAGAGCCAACGUUUUGAUUUAGAUACAAAUCCCGGUAUUGCUUCUGGUCUGUUCUGCUAUCUUUUGUUCUGCCAUAGUUCCCAAGUUUCUCAUGUCAAGAACUUAGAUUGUUAGGAUAAUGGAGGAGUGUUAUGCAACUAUCUUUGGAGGGUAGUAUAUAUAUGGAUGGUGUCAAGAGCAGUGCAAUAGAGUUUGGUAUUUAGGCAGCUAGGUAUAAGAAUGGACUUGCAUAUUCUUCUUGAAAAGGAUACCGCCUUAGUAUGAUACCAAACGCAAUUCUAUUCCGAGAAUUGAAAUUUUAAACAGUUACAAAACGGUUUAAAAUAAUUAGAAAUUAUUUCUGGGAAUAGAAUAAAAAAGAAUCAUUUCUGAUCAGAAAUUGUUCUUAGGGAUAGAAGUCUUACCAAACACGCCAUUACGUUCUCUCCUCCAUAUUGAAAGCUAUGGAGGGUCGAGAUCCUCCGCCCAAUUUCAUCAACGUCGUAUCGGCACCUUCUUUCCCACUUACUUUAGUAAACAGGACACGUUCCUAGAUGCAGGUGAGGGCGACCCUCAGAUUGGCAGCGGCUCGGGCCCCUUCAAGUUACUAACCGAACCACUGCCUUCGCACUUUCCGAUCUUUCAUCAUCCAAGUCCGGGCCGCGUCUUCUAGCAUCAAUUAAAUAUUCUCGAGGGUGUGAUGCUGAAGUUUUUCCUUAUUUUAUUCAGCGAGGUCCGCGAGCGUGCUCUG
rnacentral:lncRNA from 1 species